CCAUUUCCCGCUCACUCAAAUGUUAACUGGUGGUGAAAAUGGACAGUACCAAUGAUCAGUUGAUUAGUUAAUUGCUUUUAUGUGAAAGGAUAAAUUACCAUUUAGUUUACUUGUUUUGAUAAGCUGUUGAAGUUGAAUUGCUACAUUUAACACAUCUAUAAGUUAUUAAAAAAAGUGUAUAUAAUAACUGUGAUUCUUUUGAAAUUAAAAAGGUACCAUCUUGGGUUGUUAAUUAUAGCUAGUCUCUUACAAGCUAACAGCAAUAGCUUUUUUAACCUACACACAGACAGAUUAAAAUAAGUUAUCAUCAUCAACCUUUUUAAUUUCAUGUGAAUCAUAUUAUUUUAAUGAUCUUCUCAAUAUGUAUAUUUAUAUUUAUGUGUGUGUGUGUAUUGCUAGUAACUUCAUUGGUAAAUCACAUCAACAUUAUGACCAUCAACUAAACCAAACCCAACUCCCACUCUAAUAUAUCAAGUAGAGAUACAGAGAUCAAUAAGAACUUCAAGUUAAUCAUUAUGAUUGCCAUUCAUACCUGUUAUAAAUCAAAAAAGGAUCCAGUGAUGGUAACGGAAACACCAACAUCUCAUUGAACUCAAAACUCAAGACAAAUUGAACUUUACUCAAAGUUAUCUCAUUUAUCUUCUAUUGAGACGUUUACAUGGUUAAAUUGUGGUCAUGGUUGUUGAUCAUAAAUCUGGUUUUAGACCGUCUCUGUAACCAAAACCCAUGCACACUUUCCACAAGAAAAUUCUGAUAUCAGUGGCUUUCUUUUGGAUAAAAAAUAAACACUUUUAGGAUGGUGUUGAUGGUAAAGAUGAAACGGGAUUGGAAUACUUAUAGUUUAAAUUCAUCAUUCAUCUCAAGGCAUCAUGAUAGUGAUUUGAAAUAUUUCAUUUUUUCACUCUUUCGUUUUUCAGUAUUGAUCAGCUUUCUCAAGGCAACAGUUAUAAUCAACAAGUAUCAUGAGAUAAAGAUGAAAAGCAGAUUUUUGUUUUUUUUGGAGAGAUGACAUUUCGGCUGAUUUUCAGGAAAAGUUGUCAUCAAUCAUAUUCAAACCAGUAUCACCAAUUCAAUAUUUGAAACUAAUACUCGCACAAGAUAUGAAGGAGAGCGAAAGACAAGCCUAGUGACUGUUAACUAACUCAAUGCACACCUUAAUUAUGAGCUUACCAAAUGAAAAUUUGGCUUCAGGUAAUUGUACUACCAACUAAGAUAACUAGCUAAAUAAUCAUAAUAAUAUUCAUAAAUGGCAAUUUCUCACUCUUAUUUAGAGUUAACCAUUUUUUUAUUCAAAACUUGCCUUGUCAUUAUCAGCCCUAUCAAAUGAUUUGGGAGUAUCAAAUAUCAUUAAGUAAAAGUAUAAAUCUUGAUUAUUAUUUAAUAAUAAUAUUAUUAAAUGAAUGACUUUCUGCUAAUUGAUUCAUCAAUUGAAUCAUCCAAUGGUUUCAUUUCAAUGCUGCAGGUUUCUUGUAAAGGUCCUCGCAAAGGUUUUUUGGUAUAUCGAGGUCUCGUUAAAGACGAUGAACCAGAGACACUUGGAGUACUUGGAGU